rnacentral:lncRNA from 1 species
CGAUAUGGCAGGUUGGAUCCGACCAAUGGGUUCCGCCACGGACCUAAACUCCAAAGUCCCAACACACGUGGAAGCUAACAGAGGGGUGAAAACCAUGUGGUUUCUCGGCGACACGCAUACGACAUCGUACAAAUCAGUGUCAAUUCCUUUCAUUAGCCUACAUCCAGCCCAACCCGAGCCCAGCACCACCACUCUGGGCUUCUCGUCCCCCUUGGUAGGUUCCAGGCCGGCAUACCUCGUCGGCGUGUCGGUGGUGAAGUGGGAGAGUGAAGUGAAGAGGAAAUUUGGGUUUUGUAAGAGAGGUUUGGAUUUGGAAGUAGAGAGUUGAAUUAGAUUUCUAAAGAGAGACAUGGAUUUGGAUUGUUUAGUACUGUUUGAUUGUUUUGCUUCAGAGAACAACUGAGUUUGUUUUGGUUCAGGUUUUCUGUGCCCAAAAUUCAGGA